GACGAACGCUGGCGGCGUGCUUAACACAUGCAAGUCGAGCGGUAAGGCCCCUUCGGGGGUACACGAGCGGCGAACGGGUGAGUAACACGUGAGCAAUCUGCCCAUCACAUCGGGAUAACUCCGGGAAACCGAAGCUAAUACCGAAUACGACCACCUCUGGCAUCGGAUGGUGGUGGAAAGUUCCGGCGGUGAUGGAUGAGCUCGCGGCCUAUCAGCUUGUUGGUGGGGUAACGGCCCACCAAGGCUUCGACGGGUAGCCGGCCUGAGAGGGUGACCGGCCACACUGGGACUGAGACACGGCCCAGACUCCUACGGGAGGCAGCAGUGGGGAAUAUUGGACAAUGGGCGAAAGCCUGAUCCAGCAACGCCGCGUGAGGGAUGACGGCCUUCGGGUUGUAAACCUCUUUCAGCAGGGACGAAGCGCAAGUGACGGUACCUGCAGAAGAAGCACCGGCCAACUACGUG
rnacentral:rRNA from 1 species